GACGAACGCUGGCGGCGUGCUUAACACAUGCAAGUCGAACGGAAAGGCCCUGCUUUUGUGGGGUGCUCGAGUGGCGAACGGGUGAGUAACACGUGAGUAACCUGCCCUUGACUUUGGGAUAACUUCAGGAAACUGGGGCUAAUACCGGAUAGGAGCUCCUGCUGCAUGGUGGGGGUUGGAAAGUUUCGGCGGUUGGGGAUGGACUCGCGGCUUAUCAGCUUGUUGGUGGGGUAGUGGCUUACCAAGGCUUUGACGGGUAGCCGGCCUGAGAGGGUGACCGGCCAAAAUGGGACUGAGGUACCGCCCAGAAUCCUACGGGAGGGAGGAGUGGGGAAUAUUGGAACAUGGGCGGAAGCCUGAUGGAGGAACGCCGGGUGCGGGAAGACGGCCUUCGGGUUGUAAACCGCUUUCGCCUGUGACGAAGCGUGAGUGACGGUAAUGGGUAAAGAAGCACCGGCUAACUACGUG
rnacentral:rRNA from 1 species